CAUCAGUAAAAUAUCAUAAAUAAUAUGUAAUUAAUUGUCUUGGACUCUCUGAUAGAGUCUUGCAUUGUGAGUGCCCUUAUAUAUGCAGGAAACCUCGAUCCAAGGGUGAGUAAUGAAAGAGCCCCCCAAAGGCUACAUACGAGAAAGUACAAAGCUUAUACGCAAGGGCCAAGGAGAACCAAAUUAAUUGAAUCAAAGGCUAAAUCUAUCAGCUAUUCUAUAGUAUUUUUCUCUCAUAAUAAAUUAAUUAAUAAUACUUUCUAUUGUAAUUUAUCAGUCAAACGAACAAGGAAGGUUCAGCAUGCCAAAUUCACUCGUGAUUUAAACCCUCUAUCUUCUCCUAGGAUUUAUUUGGCUGCACUUUAAAUCCACAUGGAUAGAUUAAAAUGCAGCCAAUAAAACCUUAGCAGGUUACAAUUUGUUUCCCCAGUUUGCUAUACUUAUUACUUUGAUCGCAAAUAUUUAUUUAUUGAGAUUUAUCCUAAGUCAAUUUUGAUAGACUAGCCGGUAAUAUGAAUAUUGUGCAACACAAGAUUUCCAUUAUUAGAUUAGUUCCAAAACAAAUCACUGUUGGUACAAUUUUAGUGAAAACAAAGUUAAAAAGUAAGGUGGCGAUAUAAUCUUUUGAAAAACAGUCUACAUAACCCACUAAACUAUACAAAGUGAACUACUUCACCUCACAAACUAUAAAACCGGAUUUUCUAUCCCCUUAACUUUUCAAAACCGAUCAAAUAGCCCCCC
rnacentral:lncRNA from 1 species